rnacentral:lncRNA from 1 species
CGCGGGGUCCCGGGAGCCCCCCUGGCGCACCCCCGGGCGGGUACUUACAGUUCCCAUCUGCAGAGGGGGCAACUUUCACCGACCCCGCGGUGGCCGCCGCCCCCUCCAGCCUGUUCGGGCGCCCGGCACCCUCCGGCCUGGGUUCGCGCUGGCCUGCGCGCCCCUCCCCCGCUCUGGGCUCCGCUCAGUCUUCACCACAUUGCCCCCAGCUCAGCGGCGAGCGCCCGGGGAGCUGCCGGAGGGAGCGGGGCGCGAGGCUGAGCACGCAUCGCAGGGCUUCUUCUUGCAGCGCACACUGUACAUGGUAGUGUGGGGGCGAGAGAAGGUGGCACUGGCCCCUGGGCUCCUCCAGCGGCGGCGGCGGAGGCUGCGACUCCUACGCGGUCCUCCGCCUCCCGCGCGGCGACCACCGCGCUGGGCUCCCGCCGCCGCUGUCCCCAGCCUAGCCCGCCGCCACCGCGGCCCCUAAUUAGUAUUUGCACGGUUCCCGCAUCCUCUUGGCCGUUUCGUCGCUCUCGGCGUCUGCAGGGUUUGUUCCUCUCUCCCUUCCCCAGAUGCGGCGCUCGAUCGUCAUUAUUCGGAGCUCUGUAUCUCCGACCUCCUUCGGGGGUCUGAGGGGCUGGAGUAGCGCUGCUCUACGCCUGUGGCGCGUCCUGGCAGCCCGGAGGCUCAAAAAAACUCAGAGAAAGUCGCGUCUUCUCUCCUGGGCGAUGAGGAGGUGGCAGCACGAAAAGCAUCGUCCGGGUCUCUGAGACCUCUGCUCCGUGGCCGGCGCUGGGCCAGUCCGGUGCACUUGUUUAUUGUCGCGCUGCUGGUGCGAGCCACGCUGCCGCAGACAUGAUGGGCCCGGGGCGAAGCAGGCACGCGGCGGCCGAUAGGUGGCAGCCAAGAGCGCGAGCCGCGCUGGGCUCCAGAGGCUCAGCCGGAGCCCCCCUCGAAUGUCACAUCCUUGGGAGACAGAGGAGUCUGGGACCAUGUGCGUAACGCGAGCGUGGGAGUGUGCAGUUCUCGUAUUGGAGAAGGGAGGAGUGGAGAUAACCCCGACAGUGCUAGGCUUGGUGGUGGGGGUCAGGGGCAGAUGAUUCCAGCCCAGUGCUGCCCGCUUGCUGCUUGCUCCCUCUUCCAUUUAGAGUGGGAGAGCCCUUGCUGCCGUCUCCCACAACACUGUAGAGGACCCUGGAAGAGGGAGUGGUUCGUUCUAGCUGUAAAGAGGGAGCUACUUUUAUUUUUAAGAGUUACGUUUUUAUAACUAUGUUUGGGCAGUUCAAGGGAAUGUGAACGACUUUCAGAAAAAAAAUGGUUUGUGAAUGCACUGGGAAUGAACUAGAAGCUGGAAAAGCCCUAAAUAGAGGCAGUCUCAAUAGAAAGCGAGUUUCUUCAAGAGUCACCUGCUAAACUUCACUAGCUUCGUCUCUACAGUGAAGAACUUAGCUACAGAGAGGGAGAGAGAGAGAGAGCGAGAGAGAGAGGAAAUAAAAAUGCAUCCUGUGUGCGGAGCUGUCGCACUAAUAGUUAUCUCCAAGGAGCUUCACUAUUUGUGGAUUGAAACUCACAUGAACAUUCUGAUUUUGCUAUACCUGCUCAUUAUUUGAAGAACAACUCUUAUUGUAUUUAAGAAUGUUCUGUGCUGUCUGGGCCUGUCUUGCAAUUGAUCCUGGAUUUGAAGCUGACAACUGUGAACUAGUAGGAGAAUGCUGCCACAGGAGCUGCCAUGCCUGAAGAAAAUUCAAAAAAAGAAACUGGCACUAGGGUCCUUCACUGAGAAGUCUGCCUUCUUGACUGUCACCAUGCCAUGGGAGAGGUAGAGGAAGGAUUUCUAAUGCAGACUCACAGCUUUGACUCUACAGUGAGCUUCCAGGCCUUCAACCUUGGGCUGGUGAUGUAUCUUCCAUCCCUCUUGUUCAGUGGCUUCUGUCUUGGGCUGAGCAUCUACUGGAUCCUCUGGCUCUGAAGCACUCAGAUGACCACUGUGAAUUCUUCCACCACUGAUCCCGUGACCCUACCUAAUAAAUCCCCUUUCAUUGUUAUACCUAUAUUUUCUAUUAAUGUUGAUAUUCUAUGGAAUACUAAAUAACAGAUUUUGGUACCAUCAGUGGUUCUAGAGAAACAGAAUUUUAAGCAUAAAUUACUCUAAUUGGUUUAGUGGUUAGUGGAGUUGGUUUUCUGAUUUGAUUAGACCUAAAAGUGGAAUGUUCUAUUUUGAUGAUGUAGAGUUCACACUCUGUGGUGUGAACUCUUUAAAGUAAUAGGCAACAUAGAUCCAUUUGAUUAUCCUCAUUUGUCACUUUUGAGAUGCAAAGAAUUUAAUGACUCUAUAAGCAAUAUUUUAAAAUAAUUUUUGGAAGAGUAAGAAAUACAAUGAUGAUAGGUGGCUGCUCUUAACAUUUCUGGAUGAAUUACUACAGAAAAUCAUGAGCUCACAUGCACAAUCUAAAGUCUUCUGAGUGUGGCUUGAAGAAUCUUCUCUCCCUUAAUCAUAGGGCUGAGUUUACUGAAAACCAAACACAGUUUCUUCAUAAUGUGAUUGAUUAU